AUUCUUUGUCUGUGGUUGCUAGGAUGCAGAACAAAAGGGCUGUGGCAGAGACUCUGUUCUUUAACAGUCCUCCCAAAAACCUUGCUCCAGCUCCUGGCUUCCCAGUCCAGUCCCAGGGUUUGCAGUACCCAGGUAUCCACGGGCGGAGCAGCUUGUUCUUCGCAGGCAGUAAAAUCACUGAGCAGGUUCCUCCUGGCUUUUGAGGGGUGAGGAGUCUCUCGAGGGGCCAGACACAUGUUUUCGUGGCAGGUUUGAACACAGUACCUUCGCCUUGUCUUCCAAACACUUAACCACGGCAGAAUUCAGAGCUGGGAGGACAGCUGAUCGCCUUGCCACGUGUCAUCUGGAAUAGUAAAAUCCAAGCCACAGAACUGGUCUGGACAAAAACAGACAUCAAAGUGAUUAAACCAAAAAUCACAUUUUCCAAACCAUGAGUAAAAUCACAAUCAUGUUUAUUUUAAUCC